rnacentral:lncRNA from 1 species
UUUAAAUUUUAAUUAUAUAAAUUUAAUAGAAAACGUAUUUUAUACGACAUUAUUUAUUUCUUUAUUAAUUUUAUACCAUUUAGUGUACUUGGACCCUUUCUCCUCUUUGUUAUCCUUCACUAUCUUGACCCACGAGUAGGCUCAUUUAUUUUUUUAAAUAAAGGAUUUAUAAAUUUAUAACUUAUAAAUAUUACUUUUAUAAAAAUAAAUAAUUUUGCCUUAAAUAUCAGGGGUGUGAACUAAUUUGAUGUGGGUCAAGAACUUUUUAUUUUAUUCAGACGUCAAGGCUGAUGUGUAAUUCACUUUAUGACAUAGUUCUCAUACGAUACCCAUUUACAUAAUGGUUUUGUAUAUUUCUAAAACAUAUAAAUACGUAAGAGAGUGUUGCUUUCGUAGUAGAAAGUAUUACGCAAACAACUAAAAAAAUAACAAAUAAAUUUAAAACAAAACGUCAUAAAUUUAUAAACAAUUAAAAGUGAGGUAAUUGAGAAAUCAUUUGAUAUUUUUUUCAGUUUCCAUAUAAUGUAUAGGCCCAUAGGAUUUUCUAGUUAUUUAUUGAAAGUUCAACGAAUUUAAAGGGGUGAUAACACGUUUAAAUCCCUUUAGACACGCGAAGAAAACUCGUAGCCACGUAGCCAGUCCGUUGGCGAGGUACGAACCCACGACUAAUGUUAUAAAUAAAGUAGCUUUUUUUUAAUCACAUAAUUAAGAGUAAAUUUUAAGACCUCUUCUGUGUCUAGGGAUGAAAUCAAGUGACCUGUUGACCCUCCAAUCAAGGCCUACUUACAGGGAGGAAAUUAACUUAAAAAACAAUGCUUAAAACACAUAAAUUAUUCGUCACUACAAUUUAAAAAAUUGGCUGACAAGUGGCUAGCAGGUGUAAAUACCUAUUUAAGAUAGGGAAACAGGUGUCGAUAAAUCAGUGUUGUAGAAUUUUAACUGAAGAGCAGCAGCAUUUAAAAUGAACAAUUUCGUGUUAAUUGCCAUCGUUUCUUGCGUAAUCAAUGCUACGAUUGGAAUUUCAUCAUCAGACAAGGAGAAAAACAUUCUUCAAAUGUUUAAAUCUGUAAAGGAUGGGUUAAAGGUCAUUCCAUCUCGUGAAGAAAAAGAUAGUGUUGAAAAUGGAAACAAGCCAGUUUAUGGUGGCCAUCAUCAUUACUGGGGACAUCAUCAUCAUUAUCAUCAUCAUAAGCGAAAUCAGGACUAAAUUAUAAUUAAAUGAAAGGAAAUUAAUGAUGUUAUCUUGAUUUAUUUGCACGAUAUAUUCUUGAAAUUUAACCACAUCCUAAUUAAAAUAUGUUUAUUAAUAAAUAUAAUAUGUAUGGAAACAAAAAUAAAAUACAAGUUCUGUUAUUUACUUUGUCUUUUCUUUUAUAUUACGCAGUAAAAGGGGGCGAAUUCGAACAUUUCACACAAGAUAAUGUACACUUUGCCAUUAUUUGCUUGAAAAUAGCUUUUCUCCUAUUGUUCCAGUUUUGUACUAUUAUUAUUUUUAAAUAAGCCCUAAUAAAAGUAUUUUCCUAAUAAAUAGUUUUAACACGUAAAUACGCACAGGGAAAUAUAAUAAAAUUUUAAUUUAUAGUCUACAUAUAAUUAA